rnacentral:rRNA from 1 species
UGGGGAAUAUUGCACAAUGGGCGCAAGCCUGAUGCAGCCAUGCCGCGUGUGUGAAGAAGGCCUUCGGGUUGUAAAGCACUUUCAGCGAGGAGGAAGGCGUUAAGGUUAAUAACCUUAGCGAUUGACGUUACUCGCAGAAGAAGCACCGGCUAACUCCGUGCCAGCAGCCGCGGUAAUACGGAGGGUGCAAGCGUUAAUCGGAAUUACUGGGCGUAAAGCGCACGCAGGCGGUUUGUUAAGUCAGAUGUGAAAUCCCCGAGCUUAACUUGGGAACUGCAUUUGAAACUGGCAAGCUAGAGUCUUGUAGAGGGGGGUAGAAUUCCAGGUGUAGCGGUGAAAUGCGUAGAGAUCUGGAGGAAUACCGGUGGCGAAGGCGGCCCCCUGGACAAAGACUGACGCUCAGGUGCGAAAGCGUGGGGCAGCAAACAGGAUUAGAUACCCUGGUAGUCCAGCGCUGUAAACGGAUGUCG